CUUGAUAUCUUCUAUUACCGCAAAAAUGGCAUUAUAUGGAGGUAUGAUCGAUCAUGUUAAUUUUCUGGCAGCACUCAAAAGGACUUUAUAAGGAAUUAAGAAGCAUCUUCCUCUAGGUACAUUUUCAGAUGACAUGAUCACCACUGGGAUGUCCUUCAAAGAUGAUGACUCCUGAUAUCAGAGCAAGAGAAGAAGCUCCUCAUAAAUCUCUUGAAACAAUUCCAGGAGAACAAAAUGUGCAUGUUGGAGAUAUGAACCAAGCAUCAACUGUUUACCUUGAUCUUUUUGAGGAGGUCAUACCCUGUCAUCCCAGGCAUGCAGUAAUCUGUUAUUACCAGAUUCACCUCAAUCUCCUGUAAGAAGAAUCACAACCAUCACAGUUUCAUCAGAGACACACAAAAGAAAAUGGGUAAAGAACAGUAACAAGAGGAUCCAUGAGAGAGAAGAGACCAAGUGGAUUACAUUGUGUUCUGGUGAGAGAGCUGGUGUGCUGGUCUGGUCUUCCUUCAACCCCAAGACUUCAAGAGCCUUGCUCCCAGAAUCCACAGUGGUGACUGCAACACCACCAUGAACAUGUUUGAGAUAGAAGAAGCCUUAAGGCACAAUUCAAGGAUUGCUAGUUUUGGUACCUUGAAAGGAAGAUGUCUUGAGGAGCCUCUCAAUGAGUUUUCUAUCCAUGAGGCUGUCAUCCACAGCCAGGACAUGGAACUGAGCUUCUGCAUCCACAGCCAUGGACUUCUCCUCCCCACACAACAACAGUUGCAGCAAGGGCCAAAGAGGUGGAGAAGAUGCAAGCAGAAGAGGUGGAUGGAGCCUUGGUUUCUGCCUUGCCUGGUUAACACCUUCUCUCUGUCUAUAAGCCAAGCAAGGUAAUGAAAUACAAGUCACCUUCUAACCCACCAAAUCCCACCUCAUGGGAGGCAAGAUCUGACCAAAUAUCACACAAAUCUCCCCAUGUCCAAAUCUCUCUCACUUCACAAUCUUGUGCUGAGGACUCGCAUAUCUCCUGAUUCCUCAAAAGUUAUGAGAUUGGUGAGGAUAGUGUGAGAGGGUGAGAUGGGGAAUGGAAUUAGGGGGGUCCCAAGGGACAAGUUAGUGGUGAAGGGGUUUUAUUAUGCUGGUGCUGGCUUCAGAAUUAGGUGGCAGUGGUGGUGCUGGUGCUGGUGGUGGUGGUGCACCACAUAAUCCUGGAUUGUGAUACUCUCACCUCACCUGGGCCCCACUCUUUUACACCAUCCCAUGCCACACCUGUCUGGGAGGCAAUUCCAUGUGACCUCCCCAGAUUUGCCUCCUAAGCACAUCUCCCUUUCUCUUUCCAUCCCUUUCUUUCUCUCUCUCUCUCUCUCUCUCUCUCUAUAUAUAUAUAUAUACACAUAUCUUUUGAUAGUCCA